GACGAACGCUGGCGGCGUGCUUAACACAUGCAAGUCGAACGGAAAGGCCCUGCUUUUGUGGGGUGCUCGAGUGGCGAACGGGUGAGUAACACGUGAGUAGCCUGCCCUUGACUUUGGGAUAACUUCAGGAAACUGGGGCUAAUACCGGAUAGGAGCUCCUGCUGCAUGGUGGGGGUUGGAAAGUUUCGGCGGUUGGGGAUGGACUCGCGGCUUAUCAGCUUGUUGGUGGGGUAGUGGCUUACCAAGGCUUUGACGGGUAGCCGGCCUGAGAGGGUGACCGGCCACAUUGGGACUGAGAUACGGCCCAGACUCCUACGGGAGGCAGCAGUGGGGAAUAUUGCACAAUGGGCGGAAGCCUGAUGCAGCAACGCCGCGUGCGGGAUGGCGGCCUUCGGGUUGUAAACCGCUUUCGCCUGUGACGAAGCGUGAGUGACGGUAAUGGGUAAAGAAGCACCGGCUAACUACGUG
rnacentral:rRNA from 1 species